rnacentral:piRNA from 1 species
UCUUGCCCUGACAGACCUUUCUUUAGCCGU